rnacentral:rRNA from 1 species
UACGUAGGGUGCAAGCGUUAAUCGGAAUUACUGGGCGUAAAGCGUGCGCAGGCGGCUAUGCAAGACAGAUGUGAAAUCCCCGGGCUCAACCUGGGAGCUGCAUUUGUGACUGCAUGGCUAGAGUACGGUAGAGGGGGAUGGAAUUCCGCGUGUAGCAGUGAAAUGCGUAGAUAUGCGGAGGAACACCGAUGGCGAAGGCAAUCCCCUGGACCUGUACUGACGCUCAUGCACGAAAGCGUGGGGAGCAAACAGG